GUCCGUUUGAAGAUGUAAACGGUCUAGCCUGCUCACUGAUAUUAUUGUUUAAGAGCCGCGGUAUAUUGACCGUGCAAAGGUAGCAUAAUCAUUAGGGAUUUAAUUGGGACCUGGAAUGAAGGGUUGGACAAAGGAAAGACUGUCUUUGUAGUAUAAAUUGAAGUUUACUUUUAAGUGAAAAGGCUUAGAUGUUUCAAAGGGACGAUAAGACCCUAUAAAGCUUUAUAAAUAAUUUAAAUUUGGUCAAUUUAAAUUAUAAAGGCUGAGUUUAAUUAUUUUAUUUUAUUGGGGCGAUACGAGUAUAAUUUUUAGUAACUGCUUUAAAACAAUUCUGUUAUAAUAGUGUCUAUUCGAUAAAUGAUCCUUUAUAAAGAUUAGAAGACUAAGUUACUUUAGGGAUAACAGCGUUAUUUCUUUUGAGAGUCCUUAUCGAAAAAGAAGAUUGCGACCUCGAUGUUGAAUUAAAUUAUCUAUAUAGUGCAGUAGCUAUACGAGAAGGUCUGUUCGACCUUUAAAUUUUUACAUGAUUUGAGUUCAGACCGGCGUGAG
rnacentral:rRNA from 1 species